rnacentral:rRNA from 1 species
ACCUCAUGAAUAAGGGGCUCCUAACUCUGUGCCAGCAGGAGCGGUAAUACAGAGGCCCCAAGCGUUACCCGGAAUUACUGGGCGUAAAGAGUGCGUAGGUGGUCGUGUUAGUCGUUUGUUAAAUCUCCCGGCUCAACCGGGGAAUCGCGGGCGAAACGGCACGACUUGAGGGCGUGAGAGGUACAUGGAACUCAUGGUGUAGGGGUGAAAUCCGUUGAUAUCAUGGGGAACACCGAAAGCGAAGGCAAUGUACUGGCGCGUUCCUGACACUCAAGCACGAAAGCGUAGGGAGAGAACGGGAUUAGAUACCCCGGUAUUCUACGCCCUAAACUAUGUCCGCUGGCUUUUCGGAGUAUCGACCCUCUGAGAGGCGAAGCUAACGCGUUAAGCGGACCGCCUGGGUAGUACGAUCGCAAGAUUAAAACUCAAAGGAAUAGACGGGGGCUUGCACAAGCGGUGGAGCGUGUGGCUUAAUUCGUCGCUAAGCGAAGAACCUUACCAGGGCUAGAAAUCCAGCUGCAUUCUUUGGGAAACCUUAGAAGCCUUCGAGGGUGCUGGACAGGUGAUGCAUGGCUGUUGUACGACGGCCCUUUCCGCCGCAAGGCGGAUUGAAACACUGGCUCAUAACGGUGAAGCCCAGUUUUGUAAGAGUUAUAUGCGUUAUAAUUACGCAGUGAACUCAAGAUUAAUGACUUGGUCUCCUUCCGGCACUAAUCGGAAGAACAUAGUGGGUGAUACCGUGGGAAGUUGGAGUACACAUUUCUGGAGAAAAUAUCCGCACCAUUGUUAUGCUUUUGGCUUAUGGUGCGCGGAUGGAUACCAUCGAACAAGCAGUAUCGGACUUACAAGCGUCAAUGCGCAGUUCAUCAAACGCUUUCGCGAAUUUCUCCUCGGAGAAUUUCCUGCCUCGCGGCUUCGGUUGCGGAUUUAUUAUCCGCAUGGCCAGCGACCAGAUGCAGAAACGUUUCGUGAAUACAGCGACAUUAUCGUCAUGUAUCCGAUGCGAAAAUGCAGGCAAAUCGCGAUGCAGUUAUAUGUGAAUAGCCGACCACUCUUGCGAAUGAUACAAAAAUCGCGCAGAGAGGUAUGGCGAAUGGCAGACAAAGAUGCAAUAGGCGCGUAUUUUGCAGGACGGUUUGAUGGAGACGGAUCAAUUGAUUCUGAUAAUCGCAAAUAUUGCCGUAUUGUUUACAGCAAUCAAAAAGAGGCAGAAUAUGACCGCAAAUUGAUUGCGAAAAUCGGCAUCCCAAAUGCGUCGGUCUAUGAUUACCGCGCGGCAGGCGAGUGGUGCUUGUAUAUCCCGCGAUCAAACUCAGAGAAAUUCAUUGAAUUAAUUAACCAGUUUCGUACUGGUUCCAGAAAUGUGUAUUCCAACCCCGUAGAGACUUCAUCGAAUUUGCUUUCGGCAAAUAGAUGAGAUGGGAGAAGCGCCGGCUUAAGCCGGAGAAACACUCUCAUAAAACGCCAGCUCCCGCGCUAAUUUUCAAAAAAUUAGAGCGGGGUGAAAGUAUAGUCCGUGCCACUAGUAAUAGUGGACUUGACACAGUCGUCAGUUCGUGGUUUGAAUCGUUCCCUUCAGUGGGGUAACGAACGCAACCCUCGUUGCCUGUUAUAAGUAUCAGGCGAGACUGCCCCCUCACGGGGGAGGAAGGUGAGGAUGACGCCAAGUCAGCAUGUCCCUCUGAUGCCCUGGGCUGCACACGCGCUACAAUCGCCAC